rnacentral:rRNA from 1 species
AUUGAACGCUGGCGGCAUGCCUUACACAUGCAAGUCGAAUGGCAGCACGGGGGCAACCCUGGUGGCGAGUGGCGAACGGGUGAGUAAAGCAUCGGAACGUACCCGGAAGUGGGGGAUAACGUAGCGAAAGUUACGCGAAUACCGCAUAUUCUGUGAGCAGGAAAGCAGGGGAUCGCAAGACCUUGUGCUUUCGGAGCCGCCGGUGGCGGAUUAGCUAGGUGGUGGGGUAAAGGCCUAACAAGGCGACGGGCCGUAGCGGGUAUGAGAGGGAGAUCCGCCACACUGGGACUGAGACAGGGCCCAGACUCCUACGGGAGGCAGCAGUGGGGAAUUUUGGACAAUGGGGGCAACCCUGAUCCAGCCAUGCCGCGUGAGUGAAGAAGGCCUUCGGGUUGUAAAGCUCUUUCGGCCGGGAAAAAAUCGCUCAGGCUAAUACCUUGAGUGGAUGAUGGUACCGGAAUAAGAAGCACCGGCUAACUACGUGCCAGCAGCCGCGGUAA